UACGCUGCUAUUUUUAAGGUUUUCUUCAUGUAGUUCAGUAAUGUGAGGAUCAUCUUUUAAACAGCGUAAAUAUAACAAACAGAUAAAUAACAUCAUGAUCAGCUCAGAGCUUCACUAUCUUUAAUUCAGAGCUCAGUUCAGUGUGUUUAUGGAGUUUUAAACACGGCUCAACCCCCCUCUCACCUGUGUGUGUUUAUGAGACCGGUGCUGGCGCAUGAUAAUGAUGAGUUAGUGUCCGAAUUCACUCCCGUUUUACCACUAAUUAGUGAACUUAUUAGUAUCUCCCUACAUAGCGCAACACUAAUGAGGGAGUAUGGAGCCAUUUCGGUCACAGCCCUUGAAAUGGGACUGCCUAGUCGCACCGCGGUGACGUAAUCAGCCUUCAAAUGAGUCCUUCGAAGGCUGCAGCCCCUGAAUUGAGACACAGCCAGAGUGUCUCUCUCUCUCUCUCUAUCUCUCUGCUGGAGCAGGAACAGGAUGAGCUGAUCUACAGGAGAAAUGAAGACGUUCCAAGUCAUCGCCUGCUCUCAAUGUGACUUUCCUAUUUGGGUGAAGAUCAUCUCCACAAGCAGCUAAUCAAGCUGCUGAAAGAAGAUAUCCAGAAGAAAGACUAUGUCUCACGGAGAAAUUAAUCCAAGUCCAGACAAAGAGAAAACUCACCACUGUUUAGAGUGUGGGAAGAGUUUUACUGAACAGAGUUCUCUCAAAACACACCAGCGUAUUCACACUGGAGAGAAACCCUAUCACUGCUCAGACUGCGGUAGAAGUUUUACUGUACAAAGUUCUCUAAAAACACACCAGCGCAUUCAUACAGGAGAGAAACCGUAUCACUGCUCAGCUUGUGGGAAGAGUUUUACUACCCAGACUUCUCUCAAAACACACCAACGCAUUCACACUGGAGAGAAACCGUAUCACUGCUCAGAGUGUGGGAGAAGUUUUAAUCUUCUGUGCAAUCUAAAACGACAUGAGCACAUUCACACAGGAGAAAAAACAUAUUGCUGUUUAGACUGCGGGAAGAGUUUUAAUCUUCAGAGUAAUCUAAAACGACACCAGCGCAUUCACACAGGAGAGAAACCGUAUCACUGUUCAGACUGUGGUAAGGGUUUUACUACACCGAGUCAUCUCAAACUGCAUCAGCGCAUUCACACAGGGGAGAAACCCUAUCACUGUUCAGAGUGUGAGAAGAAUUUUUCCACACUGAGGGAUCUCAAAGCACACCAGCGCAUUCACACAGGAGAGAAACCGUAUUACUGUUCAGACUGUGGGAGGAGUUUUAGUAUACAGGGUAAUUUCAUGAAGCACCAGCGCAUUCACACUGGAGAGAAACCGUAUUACUGUUCAGACUGUGGAAAAAGUUUUGCUGGACAGAGUAAUUUUAACACACACCAGAUUGUUCACACAGGGGAGAAACUGUAUUACUGCUCAGACUGUGAGAAGAGCUUCAGACAUUACACUACAUUUAAGAAACACAAGUGCUGUAAGAUCAGCCACGACAGUACAAAUUAACACACACUGAAUCACUACAAAUCCCAACCUAACUUCAGAAAUACAAGGAGAUUUGUUAAUGUUGUUAUAAAUUGUCUGAAGCAUAUUAACAAAACAGAAUAAACUAUUGUGGGCUGAACUCCAGGUCCACAAAGGCCCUUAUGUGAAAGAGUCACUUUCAACAAAGUAGAGUGAAGUAAAGUCUAAGGUGGUUUUUAUAUGGUGUUGUGGAUGCUAGCGGUGACCUACUGCUGCAAAAUAAUGUCUGACACAGCUUCAGAAUUUACUAAAACAUCAUUUAAACACAUUUGCUAAAAGUCUUCAGAAGACUAUUUAUUUCAAGACAAGGAUAGUGCUUUUCCACAGGCGUGGAACCGGCACCGCUCUGGUCUGUGAACCAAAUUUUGAACCAUAUGCUGCGUUUCCAUCAAUGUUUGGAACGUUCGUUUGCAGUGGGAACCCAAGAAUACUUGUUCUUCAGUGCGAACCCUGUUGACAUCUCUGGGCUUGUCUGUUUGUUCAGGAGCACCGCCGCUGUGCAGCGCCCUCUGUUGGUGAUGUAUGAUGUGACUUUUUGAUGGUUCCAGUAAAACUGGUGGAAACGUAGACUGAUUCACUCAAAAGAACCACGUUUCUUUUAAGCGCGAAUGGAACUCUUUCAAGAACCAGAGUUCUUUUGAUAGAUUUUGAUACUCUUCUGUCCGAAGGAAAUGACAUUUAUGUGACUGCAAAUGUAACUUAGUGUCGUUUUUUUUCUCAAAGUUAGAGUGGAAAAAAUUAUGGGAAGUUGUCACUUAUUUUGACUUGAACAAUUUUCAAUUUACUGAGUGGUAUAAAGUAGGGUAGGUAUGCUCAUUAGGCCCAGGCAACAUUUAAGCCUUGCAAAUUUGAAUUCAAAUAUCAAAAAAGAGGGUCAUGUCUUGUGUUACUCAUUGUUUUAUCCAAUCCAAUCACUUCUUACUAACAUCUCAGUUUUUGUUGAACACAAAUAGUAUGUCAUUUUUGAGUAAAGCCACCCUAUAUCCAUGCAGCCUGAAGGAAACUUACGUUACAGCCACCUCAAAACUUUGGUGUUUUUGGGAAUAGAUGGGCAGUUGGAAGUCUGAAUAUAUCUUCGUUAGAAUUGUUAUAUUAGCAUCAAUUGAUACAAAUACAUUUUUUGUAAAAAAACAAAUUGUAAAAAAAUGUAAUUCUAUGUUGUCCAUAAUAAUUGUUAAAUACAACGAAGGCCUACUUGGUAAUAUUUGUGGUGAUCCAUGGUUACAAGCAAUAUGUUGUUUUUAAUAAUUAAAAAUAAAAAAUAUACAUUUUUA